rnacentral:rRNA from 1 species
UUAGCAUAUCAAUAAGCGGAGGAAAAGAAACCAACAGGGAUUGCCUUAGUAACGGCGAGUGAAGCGGCAAAAGCUCAAAUUUAAAAUCUGGCACUCUUAGUGUCCGAGUUGUACUUUGGAGAGACAUCUUCUGAAGGGACCCAGCCUAUGUGCCUUGGAACAGGACGUCAUAGAGGGUGAGAAUCCCGUCCUUGGCUGGAUGUUUCCUCCUGUAUGUAGUGUCUUCUACGAGUCGAGUUGUUUGGGAAUGCAGCUCAAAAUGGGUGGUAAAUUUCAUCUAAAGCUAAAUACUGGCGAGAGACCGAUAGCGCACAAGUAGAGUGAUCGAAAGAUGAAAAGCACUUUGAAAAUAGAGUCAAAAAGUACGUGAAAUUGUUGAAAGGGAAGCGCUUGAGACCAGAGUCAACCUUUGGCAAACAACUGUCCUUCUGGGUGGUGCACUUGUCAUUGGCUGGGCCAGCAUCGGUUGGGACGGCAGGAUAAAGGCCCUGGGAAUGUGACUCCCUUGUGGAGUGUUAUAGCCCUGGGUGCCAUGCUGUCAGCCCCGACCGUGGACCGCGCUUCGGCUUGGAUGCUGGCUUAAUGGUCUUCAGCGGCCCGUCUUGAAACACGGACCAAGGAGUCUAACGUCUAUGCGAGUGUUUGGGCUUCAAACCCUUACGCGUAAUGAAAGUAAACGGAGGUGGGAAUCCUGCAAGGGAUGCACCAUCGACCGAUCCUGAUGUCUUCGGAUGGAUUUGAGUAGGAGCAUAGCUGUUGGGACCCGAAAGAUGGUGAACUAUGCCUGAAUAGGGUGAAGCCAGAGGAAACUCUGGUGGAGGCUCGCAGCGGUUCUGACGUGCAAAUCGAUCGUCAAAUUUGGGUAUAGGGGCGAAAGACUAAUCGAACCAUGUUGUCGCUGGUUCCUGCCGAGUCUCCCCUCAGAGUAUAA